GACGAACGCUGGCGGCGUGCCUAAUACAUGCAAGUAGAACGCUGAAGGAGGAGCUUGCUUCUCUGGAUGAGUUGCGAACGGGUGAGUAACGCGUAGGUAACCUGCCUGGUAGCGGGGGAUAACUAUUGGAAACGAUAGCUAAUACCGCAUAAUAUUGACUAUUGCAUGAUAGUCGGUUGAAAGGUGCAACUGCACCACUACCAGAUGGACCUGCGUUGUAUUAGCUAGUUGGUGGGGUAACGGCUCACCAAGGCGACGAUACAUAGCCGACCUGAGAGGGUGAUCGGCCACACUGGGACUGAGACACGGCCCAGACUCCUACGGGAGGCAGCAGUAGGGAAUCUUCGGCAAUGGACGGAAGUCUGACCGAGCAACGCCGCGUGAGUGAAGAAGGUUUUCGGAUCGUAAAGCUCUGUUGUAAGAGAAGAACGAGUGUGAGAGUGGAAAGCUCACACUGUGACGGUAUCUUACCAGAAAGGGACGGCUAACUACGUG
rnacentral:rRNA from 1 species